CCUACGUGUGGCAGCAGUGGGGAAUAUUGCACAAUGGGGGGAACCCUGAUGCAGCGACGCCGCGUGAGUGAAGAAGUAUUUCGGUAUGUAAAGCUCUAUCAGCAGGGAAGAAAAUGACGGUACCUGACUAAGAAGCACCGGCUAACUACGUGCCAGCAGCCGCGGUAAUACGUAGGGGGCAAGCGUUAUCCGGAUUUACUGGGUGUAAAGGGAGCGUAGACGGUAAUGCAAGUCUGAAGUGAAAGCCCGAGGCUCAACCAGAGGACUGCUUUGGAAACUGUAAGACUGGAGUGCAGGAGAGGUAAGUGGAAUUCCUAGUGUAGCGGUGAAAUGCGUAGAUAUUAGGAGGAACACCAGUGGCGAAGGCGGCUUACUGGACUGUAACUGACGUUGAGGCUCGAAGGCGUGGGGAGCAAACAGGAUUAGAUACCCGUGUAGUC
rnacentral:rRNA from 1 species